UACAGAGGGUGCGAGCGUUAAUCGGAAUUACUGGGCGUAAAGCGUGCGUAGACGGUUAUUUAAGUCGGGUGUGAAAGCCCCGGGCUCAACCUGGGAAUUGCAUUCGAGACUGAAUAGCUAGGGUACGGUAGAGGGAAGUGGAAUUUCCGGUGUAGCGGUGAAACGCGUAGAUAUCGGAAGGAACAUCAGUGGCGAAAGCGACUUCCUGGACCAGUACCGACGUCAGGCACGAAAGCGUGGGGAGCAAACAGG
rnacentral:rRNA from 1 species